rnacentral:rRNA from 1 species
CAGCAGCCGCGGUAAUACGUAGGGUCCAAGCGUUAAUCGGAAUUACUGGGCGUAAAGCGUGCGCAGGCGGUCGUGCAAGACCGAUGUGAAAUCCCCGGGCUUAACCUGGGAAUUGCAUUGGUGACUGCACGGCUAGAGUGUGUCAGAGGGGGGUAGAAUUCCACGUGUAGCAGUGAAAUGCGUAGAGAUGUGGAGGAAUACCGAUGGCGAAGGCAGCCCCCUGGGAUAACACUGACGCUCAUGCACGAAAGCGUGGGGAGCAAACAGGAUUAGAUACCCUGGUAGUCCACGCCGUAAACGAUGACUGCUAGGUGUCGGGUAGCAAAGCUAUUCGGUGCCGCAGCUAACGCAAUAAGCAGUCCACCUGGGGAGU